UUUUUUGGCAAAUCAAUAGAAAUUUACAAGACUAAUAAAACUAUGACCAAAUUUCGCAAGCGUGGCAGUUUUGGGCGUUAGAGUUGGCGUGGCAAUGUGGGUCAACAAACUUGCGCUUCGUCUAUGUCUCUGGAAUCUGUUUGAUCGGGACAGAUCGACUCGGCUAUUGAUCCUGAUGAAGAAUAUAUAUACAUACUUUGUAUGCUCGGAAAUGCUUGCUUCUAUUUAUGGCACUUACUAUUUAACGUAUACACCCUUUCACUCUACGAGUAACGAAAUACUUGCCUACGGACGGACGGGCCCGGCUCUAAUUGCUAGCGCAUAUGUACAUUUAUUCCUGAUGUGGUCGUAAUUGUCUCCUUUUCUGCGUUAAUUGACUUAAAUCAAUAUACCACUUGAAAGGGUAUAACAUAUUUAAAUUAGUCUAAGCCAGCUUUUGAGCUUCGGAUGGCACAGUUAGUACUACGUCUGAAGGACCUCAUACCAAGGACCCACAGAAGCGGACAGGCAGCCCCUCAUCCAUCCCAUCUUAAGAACUCAAGGCGACACACAGACUGUGUCCAGACGAAACGACCGACGCCUGAAUGAUAACUUACAAGCGUGGCAGCGGAUAGGGGUGAAGAGGAAUUAAAAGCAUGCGUUUCACAAAAAACUUAGAACAUAUGUAGAAGGGUGUUAUUUAUAUAGGCUUAUAAUCAGUGUAUGUUACACUAUGUAUCACCUUUUUGUUUUUAGAAACAAUAAAUUUUAAACUUAGUAAAUAUUUGUAUUUCUUCAUGAGAAAUAUUAGAAAACACUAUCACAUCUUCACGAUUUAUAAAUGUAUUAUACUUUUUCUUUCAACAAGGAAACAAUAUUUUGUAUCUCCGUCGGUUGCUAAA